rnacentral:rRNA from 1 species
UGGGGAAUAUUGCACAAUGGGCGCAAGCCUGAUGCAGCCAUGCCGCGUGUAUGAAGAAGGCCUUCGGGUUGUAAAGUACUUUCAGCGGGGAGGAAGGGAGUAAAGUUAAUACCUUUGCUCAUUGACGUUACCCGCAGAAGAAGCACCGGCUAACUCCGUGCCAGCAGCCGCGGUAAUACGGAGGGUGCAAGCGUUAAUCGGAAUUACUGGGCGUAAAGCGCACGCAGGCGGUUUGUUAAGUCAGAUGUGAAAUCCCCGGGCUCAACCUGGGAACUGCAUCUGAUACUGGCAAGCUUGAGUCUCGUAGAGGGGGGUAGGAUUCCAGGUGUAGCGGUGAAAUGCGUAGAGAUCUGGGGGAAUACCGGUGGCGAAGGCGGCCCCCUGGACGAAGACUGACGCUCAGGUGCGAAAGCGUGGGGAGCAAACAGG